CACGUGGCUAACCUGCCCUUGGGACAGGGAUAACCCCGGGAAACUGGGGCUAAUACUUGAUAGGUGAGAACUCCUGGGAUGGAUUCUCGCUGAAAGGGCGUCUAGAUCAUGCUUUUAGGCGUCGCCCAAGGAGGGGGCCGCGGCCGAUCAGGUUGUUGGUAAGGUAACGGCUCACCAAGCCUUUGACCGGUACGGGCCGUGAGAGCGGUAGCCCGGAGAUGGGUACUGAGACAAGGGCCCAGGCCCUACGGGGCGCAGCAGUCGCGAAAACUCACCAAUUCACGAAAGUGUGAGUGGGCCAUCCCGAGUGCCAUCCGCUGAGGAUGGCUUUUCCUUAGUGUACAAAGCUGGGGGAAUAAGGAGAGGGCAAGUCUGGUGUCAGCCGCCGCGGUAAUACCAGCUCUCCGAGUGGUGGGGAUGUUUAUUGGGCCUAAAGCAUUCGUAGCCUGCUGGGCAAGUCCUCCGUUAAAUCCAACGACUCAAUCGUUGGGCCGCGGGGGAUACUGUUCGGCUAGGGGGCGGAAGAGGUCGACGGUAUUCUCGGGGUAGGGGUGAAAUCCUAUAAUCCCGGGAGGACCACCAGUGGCGAAGGCUGUCGUCUAGAACGCGCCCGACGGUGAGGGAUGAAAGCUGGGGGAGCGAACCGGAUUAGAUACCCGG
rnacentral:rRNA from 1 species